GUCAGUCAGAAAGACAUCCUGUACAUACCACUAAUACAACAUAACUGUAACACACACAGAAAGACAGGUCAAAAAGAGGAGGUGAGUCAGUCAGAAAGACAUCCUGUACAUACCACUAAUACAACAUAACUGUAACACACACAGAAAGACAGGUCAAAAAGAGACAGUGAGUCAGUCAGAAAGACAUCCUGUACAUACCACUAAUACAACAUAACUGUAACACACACAGAAAGACAGGUCAAAAAGAGGAGGUGAGUCAGUUAGAAAGACAUCCUGUACAUACCACUAAUACAACAUAACUGUAACACACACAGAAAGACAGGUCAAAAAGAGACAGUGAGUCAGUCAGAAAGACUUCCUGUACAUACCACUAAUACAACAUAACUGUAACACACACAGAAAGACAGGUCAAAAAGAGACAGUGAGUCAGUCAGAAAGACUUCCUGUACAUACCACUAAUACAACAUAACUGUAACACACACAGAAAGACAGGUCAAAAAGAGACAGUGAGUCAGUCAGAAAGACUUCCUGUACAUACCACUAAUACAACAUAACUGUAACACACACAGAAAGACAGGUCAAAAAGAGACAGUGAGUCAGUCAGAAAGACUUCCUGUACCUCAUCAGUCAAAGCCAUUGGACUAAGAGACGUUCUCAUCAGAGAAGAUGGACUCCACUCACUCACCUCACCAAUAUAUUGGUUACGUCCCAAAUGGCACUCUAUUCUCUUCAUAGUGCACUACUGUUGAACAGGUCCCGUAGGGCUCCCCUGAUGGUAAAAAGUAGUGCACUAUGUAGGGAUUUGGGUGCCAUUUGGGACAUAACCAUAGUCUGUGUGAGUACUGAGUACUUGCCUACAAUGGCAGAUAUUACAGCCUCCUAAUGGCAGCUGUCAAGAGAGAGGGCUAAUGAGACUUAAAUCACACAGGAUUUAUUAAUAUCGUCUUCUGGUUAAAGGGGUAGUCCACCCAAUUUUCAUAAAUCAUUAUAUUUAGUAAUAUACACUGCUCAAAAAAAUAAAGGGAACACUAAAAUAACACAUGAAUGAAUGAAAUAUUCUUAUUACAUUUUUCUUUACAUAGUUGAAUGUGCUGACAACAAAAUCACACAAAUUAUCAUUGGAAAUCAAAUUUAUCAACCCAUGGAGGUCUGGAUUUGGAGUCACACUCAAAAUUAAAGUGGAAAACCACACUACAGGCUGAUCCAACUUUGAUGUAAUGUCCUUAAAACAAGUCAAAAUGAGGCUCAGUAGUGUGUGUGGCAUCCACGUGCCUGUAUGACCUCCUGAGGGAUCUCCUCCCAGACCUGGACUAAAGCAUCCGCCAACUCCUGGACAGUCUGUGGUGCAACGUGGCUUUGGUGAAUGGAGCGAGACAUGAUGUCCCAGAUGUGCUCAAUUGGAUUCAGGUCUGGGGAACGGGCGGGCCAGUCCAUAGCAUCAAUGCCUUCCUCUUGCAGGAACUGCUGACACACUCCAGCCACAUGAGGUCUAGCAUUGUCUUGCAUUAGGAGGAACCCAGGGCCAACCGCACCAGCAUAUGGUCUCACAAGGGGACUGAGGAUCUCAUCUCGGUACCUAAUGGCAGUCAGGCUACCUCUUGCGAGCACAUGAAGGGCUGUACGGCCCCCAAAGAAAUGCCACCCCACACCAUGACUGACCCACCGCCAAACCGGUCAUGCUGGAGGAUGUUGCAGGCAGCAGAACAUUCUCCACGGCGUCUCCAGACUGUCACAUGUGCUCAGUGUGAACCUGCUUUCAUCUGUGAAGAGCACAGGGCGCCAGUGGCAAAUUGGCCAAUCUUGGUGUUCUCUGGCAAAUGCCAAACGUCUUGCACGGUGUUGGGCUGUAAGCACAACCCCCACCUGUGGACGUCGGGCCCUCAUACCACCCUCAUGGAGACUGUUUCUGACCGUUUGAGCAGACACAUGCACAUUUGUGGCUUGCUGGAGGUCAUUUUGCAGGGCUCUGGCAGUGCUCCUCCUGCUCCUCCUUGCACAAAGGCAGAGGUAGCGGUCCUGCUGCUGGGUUGUUGCCCUCCGACGGCCUCCUCCACAUCUCCUGAUGUACUGGCCUAGGUAGUGCAGCUCAUCCAGGAUGGAACAUCAAUGCGAGCUUUAGCAAGAAGGUUUGCUGUGUCUGUCAGCGUAGUGUCCAGAGCAUGGAGGCGCUACCAGGAGACAGGCCAGUACAUGUGGUUAUCACCUGCAGAACCCCUCCUUUAUUGGGGGUGUCUUGCUAAUUGCCUAUAAUUUCCACCUGUUGUCUAUUCCAUUUGCACAACAGCAUGUGAAAUUUAUUGUCAAUUAGUGUUGCUUCCUAAGUGGACAGUUUGAUUUCACAGAAGUGUGAUUGACUUGGAGUUACAUUGUGUUGUUUAAGUGUUCCCUUUAUUUUUUUGAGCAGUGUAUGAUCGUAAUAUUACCGUUAUAUUUUGUAAUGUGUAUCUUACCUUAGAAGUGGUCUAGAGACCAGUACUGUGACAGUAUCUACGCUAAGUCUUUCAUUUCAUGGGCAUUUGCGUUGAAACAUUGAAACUCAAUGGUCAAUGCUAACCGUUAGCCUGUGCUGCCUCUGGCAAAGACAUGUAAGGGUCAUCGUAGAUGCUGUCACUCCUGCACUCUUAACUGCCUCGGACAUGACAAAUAUUAACAACUUAAGAAAAUAGAGUGACCUAUCCCUUUAAUGCAGUAAACACUAAUGUAUCUCAAUGAAGGAAGCAAUCAAUCAUCUAUUGCUGAUUACAAAUUAUCUAUAGGGAUAGGUCACUAUUUUCUUAAGUUGUUCAUAUUUGUCAUGUCAGAGGCAUCACAGUAGUGACCAUGAUGUAUCGCUAAUGUAUCUCAUCUACAGCUCGUCAAAACCCCUGGGCCAGUCCUGCAUUCCAUAAGAGCUGCAUUCCAUAAGAGCUGCAUUCCAUAAGAGCUGCAUUCCAAUUCAGAAAGUAAACCAUAUUCCAAAUGUUCCCCAUUGAAAAUAAUUGGAAUUUUCGUGUACUUACUGAAUUGACUGGAAUUGAAAUGGAAUUGCCCCAACCAAGUCACAAGCAAAGUCUGGAGUAGAACAGUUCGUCUCUGCAUUCUAAGUGCAUGUUGAGUCAAGUUUGUUCAAGUCAAGUAAAAUAUAUAUAUUAUAUAUAUAUAUACAUACAUACAUA